UUAGAAUUCAAAAUAAACUCCCACACCAACCCAGACUCAAACCGAACACCCGAACCUACCUGUUAAGUUUCUCGCGCCCGUCGCCGUCUCCGCUGCCGUCUUCGCCAUCUUCAGCCGUCUUCCUGUGCCAUCUUUCUCCCUUCGUCUGUUUUCGUUCAGAUACAUCCCCGCCCGUCGUCUACUCCAUCAAAUCUUGGCGACGCGUCUGUCUGUCAUCUUCUUCGUCCAAAAUUGCCGACGACGCAGUGGUUGUCUCUGUCCAAGACUCAGAUCAGAUGAUGCUUAUCGUGAAUACAAUGCAAGAAUAUUGCUACAAGGAUCGAUUUUAAUUGUUGAGGACAAAUAGUUUUCUUAUUCACCAUCUUACAAACAGUUCUGGUUGGAUUGUGGUGGCAGCAAUAGUCGAUAUGCUUUCUAGAGUCCAACUACAAAUAACUAAUUCAUCGAGAUUUAUCAUAUCCAAUCUAUUGACAUCCGCAAGAUUUGGCUUUCCAGUUCUCCAGCAUUACCAUCAGUUUAGCUCGGGUAAUUUUCCCUACCAUUGUAGCUCAUUUGAUGAUGAAGCUCUCAAGGUUCAAUCCCUUCUGAAGAUACAUUCCCACCGUCCCAUUGAAGAAAUCGAGGACUGCCUUAGAAAAUGCUACUUUUCCUUGUCACAGGACGUGAUUAUGAAUGUCCUUACGCGGAACCGUUCCAAUUAUAAGAUCGCAAAGGUAUUCUUCAACUUGGUUUGCAAAACUAAGAACUCAAAUGGGGUAGACGUAUUGGUCUAUAACGAGAUUCUGGAUAUUCUUGGUAGAAUGAAGCGUUUCGAAGAAGUCUACCAAGUGCUCGAUGAAAUGGGGAGGAAAAAUUUGGUAAACAUGCGGACAUAUGCAAUUUUGGUGGGUAGAUUGUCUGCAGCACACAAUGUCGAAGAAGCAAUUGGUGUUUUCAACAGGAUGAAAGAUUAUGGUCUUGAACGCAACUUGGCUGCAUUUCAGACGAUUCUAUUGUCCCUUUGCAGGUACAAACAUGUGGAGGAAGCAGAGCUAUUGUUUCGAAACAACGUAAAUGAGUUUCCCAACGAUAUCAAGACGUGGAACAUCAUCCUCAAUGGAUGGUGUUUAUUGCGAAGUUUACGUGAUGCCAAGAGAUUAUGGAAAGACAUUGUGAGAUCAAAAGUCAAACCCGACAAAUUCAGCUAUGGGAUUUUCAUCAAUUCGUUGUGCAAGACGGGGAAAAUAAUGACUGCGAUGAAUUUGCUUAGCAAAAUGUUGGAGGAAGGGUGCAGUCCCGAUGUGGCAAUUUGCAACACUGUAAUAGAUGGAUUGUGUUUCAAGAAGAGGAUUCCGGAAGCUUUGAAGAUCGUUGGUGAUAUGAAGCGGCGGAAUUGUCCACCGAAUGUUGUGACUUACAAUUCGCUCAUCAAACAGUUCUGCAAUAAUCGGAGAGUGGAUGAAGUUUACAAGUUGGUUAAUGAGAUGGAAGAGAAUGGAGAUAGUUGUUCUCCAAAUGCUUUGACUUACGGUUUUUUGUUGAGAAUGUCGAGCAAACCCAAAGAAGUUGAUGACAUUUUGAAGAGGAUGAAAGGAAGGUGCGAAAUGGAAGUGGAUACUUACAAUUUGGUUUUGAGAUUGUUCGUGAAAUGGGGAGAUGAAGAUCGAAUGAAGUUUAUAUGGGAUGAGAUGGAAAGAAGUGGAUUCGGACCGGAUCAACAAUCUUACACAAUUGUUAUUCAUGGACUUUAUGAUAAAGGGAUUGUAGGGGAAGCUUUGGAGUAUUUCAAUGAGAUGAUGUCAAAAGGGAUGGUACCGGAACCUCGGACUAGGUUAUUGGUGGAUGAUAUGAUAAAAGGAUUGAAAACGCACUCCAGAACUUUACCUGAAAGAAGGCAAGAAAAAGUGUGUAGCAUGUUCGAUCAUGUGCAUAGUUCUCAACGUUAGUUUUUAAACCUUAUUUCUCGCAGUAUAGCCUCGAAUUCUAUUUGAAGCACAAUGUCUUCUAUGGGUGCUCCCAGAGACAAGUUGCUAAAGUUGAAUAUUGUCUAUGUCAGGAGCUCAUGAAGAAGAAAUAUGGUUCUCCUCCUCCAAUGCGUUCUAAAUUGAACUCCAAUCCUAUUUCCUCAAAUUGGGACUAUUCUAUUGCUUCCAAGCUGGAUGAGGUUUUUUUGUCUAGUAAUCCUCUUGCAUUGAGCAGCUUGGAAGGCACAAAAUUUCCCCACCAUGCUACCUCUCGAAUUCAGCUACCUCCCUUAUCUCAAACCGUGAAAAGCCUCCUCAGGUGGUUUCAGACUCUGAAUUAAUUAAGGAGGUUAAAGCUAAGAAGACCAAGACAAUUCGCAAGAAGAUCCAAAAAAUUAGUAAGGAAGAUAUUAUUUCGCAAAAGAAAGAAACUCAGUCCAUCUCGGAAUUUCUUAAGGAAUCUAGUCUUGCUGCAGUUGUCAAUAUCUUGGCUCUUUUUGAAGAAGAGGAUACUAGUAACCUUUCUGCUGCAGUGUUACCCUCUGGCCCUCCCAGCCCCCUACCUCUGAACCUUGUAAUCAUAACAUAAUUCCAGAUAUAAUUCCUUCCAACUCCAGCUCCCUCAAUACUCCGGCCAAAUCUCAAUCUCUUAGCUCUGCGUCAACACCUUCAAAUCAAAAGCCUCCAUUCGCCAAGGCCAAAUUCCCUCCUGUCUAUCGGCAUCGCACUCGUAGUGUGUCUAAACAAAAAAUCAGAACUGAUGCAGGGUCAGCCUGUAGUGUGUGUGUGUGUGUGUGUGCUUGGGGACCUGGGAGGUUUUGAUUUUUUCUUUUGGCAUGUGAUUUUGUAUUUUUGGCUGCUGGAGUGUUUUGUAUGGAACUUGAUUGAUAUUUGAAUUCUGAUUGAGCUUUACACUGUUUUUCUGGGAGUUUUUCUUUCGAUCAAGCAGGCUGGUUGAUUUGGCUGGCGCAGUGUUUGAUCACCUCCUGCUAGUUGCAAUGAUGCAAUUUCCCAAGGUUGAUUGCUCUGUCGUGUUGAUCUGUGGAUUUGGUGGGGAGUGUGGCAGGUGGAGUGUUGCUGUUAAUCGGAUGGGUUCUGUCUCUGGGUUCUGAUUGGUUGAUGGUCCUCGGUAGUAUGGCGUGUGCCUUUUUCAUAUCCCAGGUAAGGAGUUGGCAGAAUUUUGUUGGUCUGGCUUUGAGAGGUGCCGAGAAAGAUGGCAUGGCAUGGGAGUUGGAUUUAUUUAUGGUUUGGGAAUUUCAAUCAAACAGUAGUGUCUUGAUGGAAAAGCCUGGAUUAAUCUUUUCUCAGGUUAAUGUUUCUGGAAGGCAGUUUGGUGAGGUGACUGAUGUUUCUUGGAGGAUCUGCCAAAGGCUUUGGAUUUGGAUUUGGUAUUGGUAACUGGUUGUUGAUGUGGAUUUACAUAUACAUUGGCAGUGUGUUUGGUUUUGAUCACAAAGUCUUGGUCUUGGUCUUCGUCUUCUCAAUGCCAAGGUUCAUCAGGAUUUUGGAUAUGGCCAUAUCGCUUCAAAUGGAGGUAUGCUUCAUACGCUGCUGCCUGCCUGCCUGCAUGUUCUUGAAUUUGGUUUUGUUUUGUUUUGGUUGAUUGUUUGUGUCGAUGUUCCCUGGCAUGUCGGUUUGGAUUGAGGCCAGCUUUUUUACUUUUACUUUUAGGAUGUGUUUUGUGUGUGUUUGUGUUUGAUGGUUUAUUUGGAAUUUGAAUAGUAAAAAUUUUGAAUUGAAAUAAUUGUAGUAUAAAUAGAUGUUGAUAUUAUGUUUUGAAUGUAAAAUUAAUAUUUACUAUAAUAUAAAAAAUAAAAAAUAUAUAUUUGAUUAGAUAUUUUUUUGCCAAAAAUCUUUUGAUAUAAUAAUAGAUAUUGGAGAAAAUUUCAUAAAAG